CAUCUUACUGGGCAGCAUUGGAUGUAUUCUGUCUUUCUAAUACUGCCUGGUAAUGAUGAU
rnacentral:pre_miRNA from 1 species